rnacentral:rRNA from 1 species
CGCGUAGGCGGGUGUUCAAGUCCGGGGUGAAAUCCCACAGCUCAACUGUGGAACUGCCCUGGAUACUGGGCACCCCGAGGGUGGUAGGGGUAUGCGGAACUAUCGGUGGAGCGGUGAAAUGCGUUGAUAUCGAUAGGAACUCCGGUGGCGAAGGCGGCAUACUGGACCACUUCUGACGCUGAGGCGCGAAAGCCAGGGGAGCGAACG